GCCGGUCCCUCUCCCGGUGAACCGCGGGCGGCCGGGCUGUAGGGGGUGCAAGAGCUCCACUGAAGCCGCGGGCCCGUCUCGUCCCCUCAGGGCAGUCCCUGCCUGGAACCGGCCUCCGCCGGCACCGGGAGCCCGGCGACCCCCCGAACUCGCAUCGGGACGGUGUAAGGCGCGGUCCUAAACCCGAAGCUGUGAAACUUCCUGGUGACACUUUCAAAGAAGGAAAGUACAGUAUAAAACUGAGGAAGGAGGCAAACAGGACCAGCAUUCUGCUGACAGGAGGGAAAAUAUCUACCUAUCAAGUGAUGGAGAAUGCAGUAAAAGUUGAAGCAGAGCAUCUAUACCAAAACAGACUUUGUGCUGUGCAGUCUUUCAUAGCUCUCGAUGCUGUGUCCAGUUAAAAAGUAUCACAGGAGGAAAUUCACAAAUACGUAGGAAUGGAGUUGCAGUGUGUUCCCAUUUUUAACUGCUGAAGAGACCAGGACAGGAGGGAGUACCAUAGAGUUCUCUCUUCCCACCAGCUGGACACAGAUCACAUUUUUCUGCUUUGUAUGUAGUGUACAUUGGGGGAAAAUGCAAGAUGAUUUUUUUCAGAAACUGCUGCAGCCCUAGCAAACAGAACUACUUCAGUGCCCUGCAGCAUGAGUGUUGGACAAGUUAUUCUAACAAACAUAACUUCUGAGAAAAGGCAUUCAGAGCUUUUGGAUGCCAAACUAGUGGACAGCAGCAUAUACAUGUCUUAAACAGAAUGAGCUGCACCAGCACUUUCUAAAGCUUUCCUCUGCAUUUGAAAUACACAAGAUGCCCAGCAUAUAUAUACAUCCUCAAAUAUCUGACUUUUUUACGUGACCUUCCUUGUUCCUUUAAGAAGUACAAGAAAUAUGAACAGGACAGCCUGUCCUGCAGCUUGAUAUUUAGCCAUAUUUGCUGGAUUAUACAUUCUCUCUGUUUUAACCUUCUGAAUAUGCAGUUUCUGCCAGAUAACCAAUUCCCUCUUGCCCAGGAGAACUGAUUGUUAUAGUCACCGCAGUGAUAUUCUUACUAAAAACAGUGUUACACCAUCCUAUCCUAGGAUAACUAGAUGACUUUUGAGUAAUUAUUUGGAAAUAAUUUAGAAUUAAGAGUUUCUGAUUGUUUCUAAAGUGUUUUUGAAACAUAGUAUUUAGGUCUUUCAGGACAGACACUCAAAAAUAGGUAACAGACAUAUUUAAGUUUGUGAAUGUAAGCGAAAGCUUCUUAUGAAUCAGUAUUACUAAAUUCUAUGCAUACUGAUAAAUUGAUCUUUAAGAUAAAUAUGUAAUUCUCAUGCUUCAGUAAACAAGCAAAGAAAAUUUAAUCUAUGGAAGGUAUGAUUCUAAAGUUGAACAUGUAAGUUUGGGAAGAAUGUCAAAUAACCAUUUAGACCUAAAAUACUCUUGGGGCAUUUAUUUGCAUAAUUUUGUUUCUUUAAUUAAAAAACAAAUAUCUCAAACUGGUCUGGUGAUAGUUAUUGUCUCUUGAGGAGAAAACAUUAAAAUUCUUUGCAAAUAUUAAUGGGGGGGAGUGUUUUUGGGUUUUUUUUCAGCUCUACCUUUUCUUUGGAUUUUGCCAAAACUGUUAUGUUCCCUAGAGUAGCAUGAGAAAUUAUAUUUGCGGGAUUUUAAAUUAUAGUAAAAGGAAAUUGCAUAGUGACCCUUCCUUAUGUGCAAGCAAAUCUUAUAAUUUUCUGCUGGAAAGGGAUCAUGUGAGAGUUUGUGAUGCCUUUGAGAAAAGAAGCAGCCUUUUGGCAGUGCUAGCAAGCUGUAGCCUACAAAAUCAUUUCAUGAAGCUGAGCAUUUGAUUCAUUUAGGAACUCAUGCUUAUCAUUAUUUUGAAAUUUGCUAAUUCGUGUUACACAAUCUAUAAAUACCUCAGAUUAAGCAUAUACUAGAAUGUGGCAAAAUCAGUUUUCUUCACUAUAGACUUGGGUAACUCAUUUUUGAAAGAAAGCAAAAGUCUUUGCUUUUUAAGGAGUGCAGUCAAAGAUUUACAAUUCCACUUGGGAAUGUUUUCUAAUCUACCACUUAAGGUAAAUGGAAAAUUAGAGACAGAUUUUUCCAUUCCAGAGAGGCACUGAAUAGGGAGGAAAGACUGCUGUUUUCUGCAGUUGUGAACAGCAAAAGUCACUCAUCUCCCUCAUCAUGAAUUCAUAUUGCUUCACAUAUUUCUGUGGCUUUUGUAAAGGUGUAGGCAAAUAUAACAAAGAUCAGAGGAAAACAGCAUUUGUGAUUUUUUAUUUUUCAUGCUGUAAGACUAUGAUUCACAGCUAUAUCCUAUUUGAUGGACUCCAGAUAUCUCACUGAAACUGAGAAAAACAACUAUUUGAAUUUUUUGGUAUGACUUUUUUUGACAUAUCUGAACAUCUUGAAAUUGUCUUUGUAAAGGAAGGAAAUGUUCAGUGGACAAUAGUUUGAAUUUGUCUAACUUCUGUUUUUUUCUCACAGCAGUGCAACAUUUCAUCGAUAACUAAGUGUAGUGUUAAAAUUUGACUUUGUGCAGCCUUGUAUUAGACUGUGAAAAGGACAUUCAUACCUUCCCUGUCUCAUUGAUAAACUUCAUGCAUAAUUACUGUGAAAAUAACUGAACAUUACAUAUAUAUUUUGGUGUCUUUUACUUAGAUUAGGAUUGCAUAAUGUUGAUUGACAGCCUAAAUAGUACCUUCAAACAACAACUACUUGAGUUCCUCACUGAAUAAAAUUAGCAACUAAAAGUAUUUAAACACAAUUAAAAUACAUUUUCUUUCAGUCUGAGGUGGACAUGACCAUGGUGGGUCAUGAGACCUUCAAAUAACCACUAACCUGGAUGUGGUUUUGGUUUUCUCUGAAGGAGCACCUUCUUAAUUCAUUCCACAAGCCAAAGGGGGUGCUAUCGGCUGCAUAGAAACUGCUUUGGGAGCAAGGAAUGAGUAGAAGGUGUGAACAAAGUUAAUUAUUUAAUUAUGUUUUGGUAUAUGUGUCUGCUUCCUUGUUUUAAUUGAUGCAGGUAAAUGGAAAAGAAAGCUUGAAGAUAAAACAUAGGGUUUUGGGGUUUUUUUGGUAUAAGCAGUUUGCAACACCACUUAGCAUACUACGUAAUAAAAGAUUGUGAGACUC